rnacentral:rRNA from 1 species
AACGAACGCUGGCGGCGGGUCUUAGGCAUGCAAGUCGAACGGGUUCAGCAAUGAAUCAGUGGCGCACGGGUGAGUAACACGUAGGUGAUCUGCCUUGAGGAUGGGGAUAGCCUGUGGAAACACAGGGUAAUACCGAAUGAGCUGACGUGACUUUGGUUAUGUUAGUAAAGGUGCUACGGCACCGCCUUGAGAGGAGCCUGCGGCUGAUUAGCUAGUUGGUGGGGUAAAGGCCUACCAAGGCGACGAUCAGUAGCCGGCCUGAGCGGGUGUACGGCCACACUGAGACUGAGACACGGCUCAGACUCCUACGGGAGGCAGCAGCGAAGAAUCUUCCGCAAUGGGCGAAAGACUGACGGAGCGAUGCCGCGUUAUCUAUGUAGGUCGAGAGAUUGUAAAGAUCUUUUACAGCUGAGGAAUAAGUCUGGGAGGGAAUGCCCGGAUGAUGACGUUAAGAUGUGAAUAAGCGCCGGCUAAGUACGUGCAAGACGCCGCCGUAA